rnacentral:snRNA from 1 species
GUAAAAGAUAUAGAGACAUCCAAUGAAAUUGGAACGACACGGAGAAGAUUAGCAUUGGCCUUGCACAAGGACGAUAUGCACAAAUCGAGAAAUGGUUCAAAAUUGU